AAACCACUACUUUCAAGUUUCCUAUAUACUUACAUGUGUACUUGAUCUUAAUGUACAUGUACAUUGAUAGCCUGCAAUAAUUUCGAUUAGAGAAUUAUCAAUAUCGAAUAUUGUACAAAACAAAAUGAAUGUUUACUGCAUGUUCAUUGUUUCAAUUGGAUAUUUCAAAUACAGUUCAGUGCAGGCUUACGAGAUGCGAUGCAUACAAUGCACUGAUAUAACAUUGCAGUCUAGAAAAGUUUUGUCGGAAUGCUCUACCACAGUACCAUUAACUUCAUGUGAUAGUUCAACCAAAGGAUGUGCUGAUUUCAAAGGAAUUGUCGCUUUUGGGACAAGCCAAGCAACAGACAGUGCCACUGUAAGAUUCCGCUAUUGUGCAUUAGAUUCCCGAAGUUCUUGCUACAAUGUUUCAAAUAUUAACGACUUGACAAAUGAGCCAUCUGGAAUCCAGCAAGCACUCAUAGGAAGAUUGCCAGCUCUUAGACGUAAAGGAAUCCUAUUAGGACAACCACAGGAGGUAGCUGGACAAAUAUGUGUGCAGGGACUCUCGGCACUCAAUGGAAAUAGCAAGCUAAUUCCCAAUGUUAUCUUCUUUACACUAUCUUUCAUACUUACUUGGAUAAUUGUAUGAAAUACUUUAGACCAUUGACAUUUUAUUAACCUAUUCCUUUAUUCGAUAAUUUUGUCUGAUGUUUGCAACAAUUUAUAAGCAAAUCACAGUUAGAUUUUAGCAAGAUAAUAUUGAUGAAUUCACUAGCAUUAAAGUAUUUUAAGAUAUCAUA